GGAACAAGUAAAUAUAUAGUUCAUAUAAUAGCAGAGAUAAGGUCUGCAAGUUUCUACCGGGCUACCGUAAAUUGUCCGACUAUGAGCGAAAGUGUACCUAGG
rnacentral:ncRNA from 2 species